CCUUCAAGUGCAGUGCCACAGAAUGGUCCAUAAGGAGAAAUUAUGUUGAAAAUACUGAGUAUGACAACUCUUCUUUAAGCAGGAAAGAAAUACCUAUUUAGAGCAAUGGGGAAAACCCCAUGCAGCAGGGAUAUGAAAAGUGUGUUGUUUCAUCUGCACAGGUAAAAUGUAAUAAGUAAGAUUCAAAGUUCAGAAGAGAAUUUAAGGUAAUAAUUCCCUGUUUGUAGUAGAUCAGGAAAAGUCUAGAAAACCAAGGAGGAAUGCAGGGAGGAGAGGAAGAACCUGUCAGCAGUGAUUUUUAAUCAAAGAGAAAAAUCAUUGCACUGUGGAGAAGAUAACCAGAAUCAAAAGUGAUCAAGAACACAGCUGUCGAUAGAAGUGACAACAAAAACGUCAUUUGGUGUAGUGCCUUGCUGAGGAAAGAUGUGCCUGGAGACAGAAGUCAUUAGCAGGUGAGAAGAGGGUGAGGCAAGCACCAUUUUUUUUCAAAGCAGGGAUGAAAACAAGUACAUCUGAAGCAGAAGGGAGAAGAUGGUACAACCACAUAAAUGAUCAAAGAAGACAUACCAUAUACUGUGUUAGCAUAAGAGACAAGCAUGGUAGCUUCACAAGCUGAUCUUACAAACCAUAAAUUACGGCAGUGGCGUUAGUCGUGAGCGUCUGAACUGGUGAAAGUGGAGUUCCAUACGCAUUACUAAGAAACCCAUAAUCAUACGUUGAGACAUGCAGAAACGGUGUGGGUGUCUGCACGAACUGGGGGCUAAAUCCUUUUUACCCUUUUACUUUAUCUGAAAACUUCCUGUAUGGAUGAUGCUGAGAUUUUUCUUUUUCAUUAUUUCAGGAUUAUUUUGGGGGAGAGCCAUUUUAAUAUUCUGUUCUCAUAAGGGCAAAAUUUGGACUCACCCUGAUACUGCUGUUGGGUAGUUUUAAAGCAAAGGAGGGAAGCUUUUAAUAAUGAUCCGUGAAGAAGCCUCAAGCAGCAUUCUUUCUGCUCUAGAUUCCAGCUUCUCUCAGUUAGCGUAGUCCUAUCAUAUAGAAUCAGGUACAAGAAUAGGCCCCUGAAGGAGACAUAGUGAGAGCUAAGAGCCCACAGUAUACUGGGGUACUCCAUCACUGCUUUUUGGACAAACGUACGUGUUGUAUGCAUCUCAGUCUGACAAACUUGCUUCUGUCUUAGAAAUGCAAGUGUAUAGAAUGUGUAUCCAGUGGUCAAUUUUCAGUGUUGUAAAUGCACAUUUUUAUAGCAGCAAAAUCAUAGUCUAGUAGAAAACCAAGCUUCAGGUGUAAUAGCACAAAUCAGAACCAUCCUUGCAUAGAAUUCAAUUACAAUCAAGACUUUCUGGUAAACAUACUAUUUUUCCACUGUGUAUUUUGCAUGCUGUUUGCAUGACAUCUCGUUUUCUGUCUUUCCCUUGUUGGCUGACUUUGUGCCCUUUUGGCUUGUCCUUUUUUUUUUUUUUUUCUUUUUAAGCCUAGUGGUGAUUCACUGGAAAAAAAUCCAUUUAGCCAGUGAGCAGGAAUUUAUGACCUAUUUACAAGUGAACUUCUCUAUACUUUUCGUAGGCCAAAGUCAACCCCCACAGUACCUCACAGACUGCAUUUUAGAACAUGUGUCACGUUCCCAGUGAUUCCUGAGGACCCCCAUCCAGCCUGUCUGUGUGUGCCUCACCUGGCCUGCCUGUGCUGUAGAUGCUAUUCACUAUUUGGUCACCGAGAAUAUUUUCUCUUAAAAGAGCCUACAUUCUUGGGAUGGACUAUGUGUCUUCCAGAAAGGACUCUAGAAGAUACUGCGUUGCAGGAGGAAUAAUGAUAUAUAAUAGCAUUUGAGGUUCUACUCUCUGCUUCCUGGGGUAACACCUGGUGUAACUCUUGGUCCUUGAGCCGUUGCUAACUGCUGCAAAGCCUCCACAUUUCUGAAAGGGUAACCCUGUAAAUAUGCGCUGGACAACCUAAUGCUUUCCUAACAUUGACCACAGGAUGGCAGUACAAGAUUUUCGUUUUCACCCUUGUUUCAAUUGUAUGUGUACGUGCCUUGUGCGUGUGACAGUGUAGUUAGACAGAAAAUUAAAACCAGUAGUGCUUUUUUCCAUUUUAGAAACAAAGAUAUACGAGUUUCCUUUCAAAUAGGGCUGGAUUAUGAAAACACAGAACCAAUAAGAAAACAAUGCUGUUGCUGCAUGUGAAGUGUUGCCAUAAAUACCAGAUUUCAGAUGUGCACCUCAGCUUUGUUCCUAUGCUGACUGUGCAUUUAAUUAAUUUAGACUUCUUUUUUCUCCCCCAGUAUACAACUUAUAUUGCGAAUAUUAUUUAGACAAUGUAUUAUAAUGGGUUUUGAACUCAGGGAGCUGGUGUCCUAAAACUAAAACAUCUUCAGGCUGCGUGCUAAGGCACACUCCCUGCCGGUGUGGUCCCGUUCUGCCGACAGAGCUGCGAGCAGUUGCCAGAAGGACAUAGCUUUCUCUCCAUCUCUUCUAAUGGUGUGCUGAUAACUGAAAAAUGGACAGAAAUGCCUGUUUAGUAUGAGGUCUUGGGAGACACAUGAAGCCUUCUGAUAAAUGGGGUGUUUGGAUGAUGAAGAGAUGACUUGAAGACUCAGGAAGAGAUGCUUCAGACUUCUGCCUCUGGAGUGAAAUGAAGGUGAGUUCACUUAGAUCCUAGCUCUGUGUCACUUACCUGUGUAAUCUCUCUCAUGCUUCGGGAUGGACUACGAUGUCUUUUCCAUCUUAAGUUGCUAAAAGUCUAAGUAAGUAAUUCCUGCUGUGAAAGAAAGAAAAAACCUAUUUAAAUGUUUAGGUUCCUAAAUACAGGCUUAAAUAUUGUUGAAGUCCAUAGAAUUUAAAGUACAUGCUUAAAUGUUUUGCUGAAUAGGGAUAUGUUGCUGAAUCAUGGCCAAGAUUUCUUAAGUUGAUGUACCGUUACCCAUGAAAUUACUAAUACACUCAAUAUCAAUCCUGUACUUAAAUGCAUUGUAAAAGGAGAAUAUACUUUUUCAGGGCUUCUGGUUCAUUCUCUACAAGAGCA